CGGAGGAUCCAAGCGUUAUCCGGAAUCAUUGGGUUUAAAGGGUCCGUAGGCGGGUUUAUAAGUCAGUGGUGAAAGCCCAUCGCUCAACGAUGGAACGGCCAUUGAUACUGUAGAUCUUGAAUUAUUAGGAAGUAACUAGAAUAUGUAGUGUAGCGGUGAAAUGCUUAGAGAUUACAUGGCAUACCAAUUGCGAAGGCAGGUUACUACUAAUGGAUUGACGCUGAUGGACGAAAGCGUGGGUAGCGAACAGGAUUAGAUACCCUGGUAGUCCACGCCGUAAACGAUGGAUACUAGCUGUUCGGAGCAAUCUGAGUGGCUAAGCGAAAGUGAUAAGUAUCCCACCUGGGGAGUACGUUCGCAAGAAUG
rnacentral:rRNA from 1 species